CCUCAUCACGCCGCUGCCGCCCACAUCCCGUUUCUCCGGCCCCGUUCUCAGUGACAUGGCGCUGGUGCAGGCACUGGAGCGGAGCUGUUGCCCCCGGGCUCUGUGGUGUGAUGGAACCAAGCACAAAGAUGUGUGAAAUGUGCCUCAACGACAGGAGGUCACAACAUAGGGAAGAUUCUUGUCGCAAACUGAGGAGAAAUUGCAUGCAGAGUGAUGCGAACAGCAAAGAAAAUGGGUGUGGAGUCUGUAGCAGUUUAUAGUGAAGCAGACAGAAACUCCAUGCACGUAGCAAUGGUGAAGUAUAUUAUUUUUGAUUGAUGUUCAUUAACAACACUAUUUCUCAUUGAUAAGUAAAACAUGCAAGUAGAUUUAUGUGCCAAUGCAGUUGAUUUUCACAUCUGUAGAGUGACUUCCAAGUUUUUCUUGAAUCAUUGAAUAUUUUGUCUAGUCUCUGUCUCAACACUUGACAGCUUUACAGGAAGUGCAUUAAGAUUUGGCUUUCUAAUGCUGGAGUAGGCAGAAAGUUAGAGAAGGGACUCUGGUUUGGGGAAAUAAGUCAAAACUGUUUCACCCAGCUGAGUAUGAAGAGGCAGUGAUGUAAACUGUUGCAUGCUAGCAAUCUGAUAAACAAUGUAAUUGGCUCAGAAAUUCAGUUAAAUUUGCUUUUUAUUAUCUAUUAAACAUCCUGUAUUAAAUGUAUUUUUUCUAUAAUGGGCACAUGAAGCAUAUUGCAUUGGUCCAGCACCCUCACAGCAGAGUUACUUGGCCUCAGAAAAAAUAAUGCAAGUGACCAAGGCCUCAGCAGCUCAGGCAAGUAGACCAUGACCUUAAAUCUUCUGUUACUAUCAUGCUCUUUAGCUCUUUAUUUUUGCCUGGGGUGCUUCCAUCUUGUGUUGCCUUAAGAGUUUGCAGAGUUGUGCAAGUGAGAAAGAAUCAUCUCCAUAGGUCCACCUUCAUCUGCUAUCAGAGAUACAGGUACUAAGAGGUAUCUGUUUCUGCUUUUUACUUGGCUAUGCAGUUUACAGUUUGCCAAAGCUUAUUUUGUUAACAAAUGAUCAGCUGCUUCAUAAUUGUUUUAUUCUGUCAGUUUGUCUUUUUUGGCUGUCUUCAAAGAAAUAAGCUCUAGGUUUAUAGAUGAUCUAUAGAUCUGUAAGAUCUAUAGAUUCAUACAGACUUAGAAACAGUCAAGACUGUUCAGUAAUUAAAACUUUGGUAAUUAAAUAUGUAACUGAUUCUAGUUUUCCAGAACUGGGGCAUUGCAAUGUUACAUAAGUAAGGGUUCAGCAGUCAGAUCAGAUAUUUAUAUACCGGUCAAAAGAAUAGUGGAAGAGAAACACCCACAUCAUCAGGGGUUAGUGUGGUUUAUUUAAAAUGGUGUGGUAAGUUUUGUUCAUCACAAAGGAUCUUAUUGUUACUUAAAUCAAAGAAAUGUUUCCAGGAUAUGAAGUAUAACUCAAGAAUAUGGAAAUAAGGUGAUUACUAACACAUGAACUAUGUAAUACUAAUUUUAGAUAAUUAUUUUUUUAUCACUUCCUAAUGUGAGAGUAAAUUAACUCUGUAAUUUAACUAACUUUGCGUGCAUAUUGGAAACCAGAGCUGUCAUGCUGAGGUGUUUUAUGUCUGGUAUGAAUCCAGCCUGUAUCAUAAAAAGAGUUUUGCCUUUGUAGAACUUUAAAUGUAGCUUUGGCAGGAUACAGUGUUGUAAUUUGAAAAUGCUAGGUUUGGCCUAUAUGAUGUGGCUCAAAGAUAGGAAAAGAGCAUAAGCCUGAAAUUUACUGUGCUUUUGUGUAGAGGGCUUGCAGGAAAAAAACGACCAACCAACAACUAAACAUUUGAAGCAUUUUAUUAAUUACAAUCCAAUUGUAUGUAACCCACUUGUGUAAGUAGUCCUGUGGACAUCAGUGGAACUACUUAUGUGAGGAGAAUUAACACUGAAAACAUAGACAGGUUUGGAGCUUAAAGCAAGAAUAAAAAGUAUAUUAUCAUUCUAAACAUGAAACUGUUCUGUCAAAGCACUUCCAAAGCUGUAACAUCUGCUGCUGGCAUUCCUGUUUGUCGUGGUUUAAACCCAGCCACACAGCUCGUUUGCUCAUUUCCCCCCCUUCCUCCCCCAGC